AGUGAACGCUGGCGGUAGGCCUAACACAUGCAAGUCGAACGGCAGCACAGUAAGAGCUUGCUCUUACGGGUGGCGAGUGGCGGACGGGUGAGGAAUACAUCGGAAUCUACUUUUUCGUGGGGGAGAACGUAGGGAAACUUACGCUAAUACCGCAUACGACCUACGGGUGAAAGCAGGGGAUCUUCGGACCUUGCGCGAUUGAAUGAGCCGAUGUCGGAUUAGCUAGUUGGCGGGGUAAAGGCCCACCAAGGCGACGAUCCGUAGCUGGUCUGAGAGGAUGAUCAGCCACACUGGAACUGAGACACGGUCAAGACUCCUACGGGAGGCAGCAGUGGGGAAUAUUGGACAAUGGGCGCAAGCCUGAUCCAGCCAUACCGCGUGGGUGAAGAAGGCCUUCGGGUUGUAAAGCCCUUUUGUUGGGAAAGAAAAGCAGCAGGUUAAUACCCCGCUGUUCUGACGGUACCCAAAGAAUAAGCACCGGCUAACUUCGUG
rnacentral:rRNA from 1 species